ensembl:lncRNA
GUCGCUUUCCCUUUUCAAAGCUGCUUUUUAGCAAGGAAAAAGGCUGAAACCUUUCUUUAAUGAAAUGCGAAGCCCGAGAUUCUCCUUGGCAUGUGUGCCUCUCUCCACCCAACUGGAGAAGCUCAUUAUCAUGGGCUUUUCAGGUCCACAAAGACAGACCCCGCUAACACUCCACAGCACCUUUCACACGCUCAUUCAUGCCUUGUUUAUUAAUUUAUUUUUUCAGUUUAGCUUCAGUAAAUGAUCUGGGGGGGAGCAUUUCUGCUGUGGUCUUCAGGAGAAAGUGAAGGAGGAAGAAAAAUUGCUUCAGAUCAAGGGAAGCGGUAAAACUUUUAUGUGGCUCUAAGCACACAAGCAUGCUCAUGGGAGUAACUGGCUAUACCAUAUGCUGGGGACCUUGGUUCUCUUCCCAGAUCAGUUAUUCCACAGUGCAAAUAGCUACGUUCUCCCCAGUUCUACAAUAGGGUGAGCAGCAAUUGCCUGCUUUCACAGUGUUAUGCACCUUAAAAAAAGCCCCAUAAAAGCUAUGUCACAUUACUAUCUAUGGUGGUAAGCUCAAGAGUAAGCUCAAGGAUUUUUCUACAUCAGUGUUCUUCAGCAUGAAAUGGGCAGAAAAAGGAAAAAAAAUCAAAUGUGAACAAACCAUCUAAAAAUAUUUGAAAUAGAUAAAAAUAAUUUUGAAGCAGAUGUCCUGGCUACAAGCUUCAAUCCCAGCAUUUCUAGUAGGUUUGAUAACAUGAGACUCUACCAGGAGACACAAAAAUUGAGGAAAGAAUUGCUAUUGCCUUCAAACACCACUAGACAGGACCAGCAGAGCCUGUUCCUCCAAGAAAUCCAAUUGUUGAUAUGUAAUAGAUAAAUGCCUGAUACAAGAUGCAGAAAAUCAGAGGCCAUUUACAAACCAGGGUCAAGCUGGGGCAAAAAGAUCCAUGAUCUUACUGUUUGUAGAUAUUCACAUUCAGACUGAAGAGCUUAACAAUUAGUCCUGAAGCAUCUCAACACCUUAUUCUUGAUAGGUGUCAAGCACUUCAGCACUACAUUAAGUACAGGGAGGAAGUGGGAUGGCUGAGAAUAACACGUGAAACAGCUGAGCAGAAAGAAACCUAUAAGAGCAAAAAGGGCAGGAAGAACAGCGAGCAAGGUGAGAGCACGACUUCCAUUUGGGAAGACUGGAUAGAGGAGUCCACAUUUGUUGUGUGAAAAAGGGGAGCUCAGGAAGACAGUACAGAGCCAUGGUCACUGUGCACUGCUGGCUGGUUUCCUCUUAUUCCCCUCAAUAAGAGAAAAAGCAAAUUCCUCUAAGCAGCAGGCCUCCUUUCUCAUUUACAAUAACCACUAAUACUUGUCAUAAUGGCCAGAUUAUGUCGAUCUGCUGGUCUCAGACUAAUUAAUCACUUGCUGAGGCAGUAUGAUUUCGAUAGAGAUGUUCACAUGCUUAAAAUUUGCUGUUAUUAGGUUGCAUCUGGCUGUGAUCCCACUUCCCCAUUUAUAGCCCUGGUACAAAUUCAGUGCAGCUUAAGACUGCUUGAUUUUAUGCCUGUGAACUUAAGAUCAACUGAAUUUAACAAUUUAUUAUAAAUGCAUAUAGUAUCAAGAGUAUUGUGUGCUCCAGUCAUGUUUCCAUUUCUUCUGUAUAAAAUCUCUAAUCACAAGCAG